rnacentral:lncRNA from 1 species
UUUUAGUAGAGAUGGGGUUUCAUCGUGUUAGCCAGGAUGGUCUCCAUCUCCUGACCUCGUGUUCCGCCCGCCUAGGCCUCCCAAAGUCCUGGGAUUACAGGCGUGAGCCACUGUGCCUAGCCAUUCCCUAGCCUUUUCGUCUUGGAAUCAUUUGUAGUGUCAUACGCCCCAGUUCUUUCAUCUUGGAAUUCUUUAGGGGACCGUGUGCCCCAGUGUUUCCAUCUUGGGAUCACUUGCAGGGCUGUACUCUUCAAAUCUUUGGGGACACUGUAUUAUGCCCCAGUCUUUCCCAUCUUGGAAUCUUUCCAGAGACCCUAUGCCCAGUCUUUUUGUCUUGGACUUAUUUGCAGGGCUAUAUGCCCCAGGCUUUUCAUCCUGGAAUCUUUUGAGAGAUCGCAUGCCCCAGCCUUUCCAUCCUGGGAUCAUUUGCAGUGCUGGACUCCCUAAUCUUUUUGUGUCGUAAUCGUUUGCGGUGUCAUCUUGGAAUUAUCUUGUCAUCUUGGAAGUGUCUUUUCAUCUUGGAAUUAUUUCAGGGACUGUAAGUCCCAGUCAUCUGUCUUGGAAUUGUUUUCUGGGAUGGAUGCCCCAAUCGUUUCGUUUUGGGGUCUUUGGGGAAUCGUAUGCCCCAGUGUUAUUGUUUCAGGAUUGUUUCAGGAUUCUUUGCAGUACCGUGCACCGCAGUCUUUUCAUCUUAGAAUCCUUUGGGGUACUCCCGGUUCAUCUUGGAAUUAUCUGGAAGACCGUAUGCCCCUGUUUUUUUCAAAGUACCACAGUUUUAAACAUUUAUGUUCACCUCUUGAGAGACAUCUUGGUUACUUCCAGUUGCCCCAGUUUUUUUGUCUUGGAAUCUUUGGAGGUACUGUAUUCUCCCUCUUUUUGUCUUGGAAUCAUUUGCGGUGCUGUACACCCCAGUCUUCUCGUCUUACAAUUCUUUAGGGGUAAAAUAUGCUCCAGUCUUUUCAUCUUGGGAUUCUUUCAGUGAACGCAGGUCCCAGUUUUUUUGUCUUGGAAUUCUUUAUGGGACCACACACCCCGGUCUUCCUGUCUUGGAACCGUUCGCAGCACUCUAUUGCAUGUAAUACCGCCGGCGGCACUCUACACGACUUGGAGCCGCCUGCGCUACCGUAUGCAGCACUCUCCACGGUAGCUCCCUGGGGACUCAAACUUUUCCAGUUCCCCAUCUUUAGGCUGCAACAGCAUGGCAAUGCCCAAUAGAAAACAACGCAAGCAGUAGCCAUCACGCUGCCAACACUGGCGGUGCCCUCUUGGGCAGUGGCCACUGUCUGCUGGGCGCAUUACUAAGCCCAGAGCACUCUAUGAACUCAUCACUCCAGCCUGGGCAACAAGAGUGAAACUCUGCCUCGGAGGGAAAAAAAAAAAAAAAGAAUUGAAAGAAUGAAAACCUGUCCUCAAUGUGCCUGAAUAAAUGCUUGUUCAGACACUGGAUGUGAAGUCCGAUUCUCCACUGGAUACCCAAACUGCAGGAGGUAGGUGGUUCCCAUCUGGACCCGAGUUGCCUACCAGACCAUUGUCAGAAACACAGCUGGACGUGAGUUAAAGUGGUGAAAAAACAGAUUUUAUUCAGUAACUACUGAAAGUAGGGAAGGAGCUGAGCUUAUUCCGAUUUCGGCAGAGGUGAUUUGGGUGUUUUAAAGAAAGAAUGAGGGAGACGGGAAUAAAGGAGCUCCGAAGUGUCGGGGAAGUGAAAAAGUGCAAAGGGGAGCUUCCGGAUAGCGAAGCACGUGGAGGUUCCUGGAGGGUGUCCUCCCAGAGAGGACGUGGAACCUUCCCGCUCCCACCGCGCACUUGCCCUGUGUAUCUCUUCCCUUUGGCUGUUCAUCUACAUACGUGGUAGUUUCCUUUAUAGUAAACUAAUAAACGGAAAUUUGCAGCAGCUGUG